AGGGCACAGGGCGGAUGCCUUGGCACUAAGAGCCGAUGAAAGACGUGAUAAGCUGCGAUAAGCUUCGGGGAGGAGCAAAUAUCCCGUGAUCCGGAGAUGUCUGAAUGGGGAAACCCACAUGAGCAAACCUCAUGUAUCCAUACGCCAAUCCAUAACGUAUGGAAGGGAACCCGGGGAACUGAAACAUCUAAGUACCCGGAGGAAAAGAAAGAAAACUCGAUUCCGUAAGUAGCGGCGAGCGAACGCGGAGGAGCCUAAACCGGAAUGCGUGCAUUCCGGGGUUACGGACUGCAUUUAAGAUUCUCUGAAGCUAACAGAACGGUUUUGGGAAAGCCGGCCGGAGAGGGUGAAAGCCCCGUACGUGAAAGCUGAUGAGACUGAGCAGGAUCCAGAGUACCACGAGACACGUGGAACCUUGUGGGAAAUCAGGGGGACCACCCCCUAAGGCUAAAUACUACUUAGUGACCGAUAGCGCAUAGUACUGUGAAGGAAAGGUGAAAAGGACCCCGGGAGGGGAGUGAAAGAGAACCUGAAACCCUGUGUCUACAAGCUGUGGAAGCACUUUAUAUGUGCGACCGCGUACUUUUUGUAGAACGGUCCGGCGAGUUACGCUUACUGGCAAGGUUAAGCACUUCAGGUGUGGAGCCGUAGGGAAACCAAGUCUUAAGAGGGCCAGAGUCAGUAGGAGUAGACCCGAAACCGGGUGAUCUAUCCAUGUCCAGGUUGAAGCUGCCGUAAGAGGUAGUGGAGGACCGAACCCACAUCCGUUGAAAAGGGUGGGGAUGAGGUGUGGAUAGGGGAGAAAUUCCAAUCGAACCCGGAGAUAGCUGGUUCUCCUCGAAAUAGCUUUAGGGCUAGCCUCGAUACAGAUUUGCGGAGGUAGAGCACUGAAUUUCCUAGGGGGCGUCAAAGCCUACCGAAGAAUAUCAAACUCCGAAUGCCGCGUAAUCGAUUAUCGGGAGUCAGACUGCACGAGAUAAGUUGGGCGGUCAAAAGGGAAAGAGCCCAGACCUUCAGUUAAGGUCCCCAAGUGCGCGUUAAGUGGAAAAGGAUGUGGGAUUUCGAAGACAACCAGGAUGUUGGCUCAGAAGCAGCCAUCCAUUCAAAGAGUGCGUAAUAGCUCACUGGUCGAGAGGUCCUGCGCCGAAAAUGUCCGGGGCUGAAACGCGCCACCGAAACUAAGGAACCGAAAGGUUGGUAGAGGAGCAUUGCAUGCGGGAAGAAGCAGUACCGUAAGGAGCUGUGGACUGCAUGGAAGAGAGAAUGCCGGAAUGAGUAGCGAGAAUAAGGUGGGAAUCCUUAUGGCCGAAUAUCCAAGGUUUCCAGAGUAAAGCUGAUCUGCUCUGGGUAAGUCGGGGCCUAAGGCGAGGACGAGAGUCGUAGCCGAUGGACAACAGGUGGAGAUUCCUGUACUGCGGUAUGACAGAACUGUGGGGACACGUAAGGAAAGCGGAAGCCGGGAAUGGAAAGCCCGGUGCAAGCGGGGUACCAGUCACUUUGGCAAAUCCGGGUGGCAAUGGGAAGCCGUGAUGCGGAGCGAAAUAAAGUAGCGAAGUCCGUGAGCCAUGCGUCAAGAAAAGCCGCUAUUGUUUAUACCGUACCCGUACCGUAAACCGACACAGGUGGAUGAGGAGAGAAUCCUAAGGCCGGCGGAAGAAGCAUUGUCAAGGAACUCGGCAAAAUGGCCCCGUAACUUAGGGAUAAGGGGUGCCUGGGAAACCAGGCCGCAGAGAAUAGGCUCAAGCAACUGUUUAGCAAAAACACAGGUCUAUGCGAAACCGAAAGGUGAGGUAUAUGGGCUGACGCCUGCCCGGUGCUGGAAGGUUAAGAGGAGAGGUUAGCGGUAACGCGAAGCUUUGAAUUUAAGCCCCAGUAAACGGCGGCCGUAACUAUAACGGUCCUAAGGUAGCGAAAUUCCUUGUCGGGUAAGUUCCGACCCGCACGAAAGGCGUAAUGAUUUGGGCACUGUCUCAACAAUGCACCCGGUGAAAUUGAAAUACCAGUGAAGAUGCUGGUUACCUGCGCCAGGACGGAAAGACCCCAUGGAGCUUUACUCCAGCUUGAUACUGGGAUUCGGUAUUGCAUGUACAGGAUAGGUGGGAGGCUAGGAAGUGAUAACGCCAGUUGUCACGGAGCCGCUGUUGGGAUACCACCCUUGCAGUAUUGGAUUUCUAACCAGCGACCAUGAACUGGUCGGGGGACAAUGUCAGGUGGGGAGUUUGACUGGGGCGGUCGCCUCCGAAAGGGUAUCGGAGGCGCUCAAAGGUUCCCUCAGAAUGGACGGAAACCAUUCGAAGAGUGCAAAGGCAGAAGGGAGCUUGACUGCGACACCGACGGGUGGAGCAGGUACGAAAGUAGGACUUAGUGAUCCGGUGGUAUAAAGUGGGAUUGCCAUCGCUCAACGGAUAA
rnacentral:rRNA from 1 species